GACGAACGCUGGCGGCGUGCUUAACACAUGCAAGUCGAACGGAAAGGCCCUGCUUUUGUGGGGUGCUCGAGUGGCGAACGGGUGAGUAACACGUGAGUAACCUGCCCUUGUCUUUGGGAUAACUUCAGGAAACAGGGGCUCAUACCGGAUAGGAGCUCCUGCUGCAUGGUGGGGGUUGGAAAGUUUCGGUGGUUCGGGAUGGACUGGCUGGUUAUCCGCUUGUUGGUGUAGUUGUGGCUUACCAAGGCUUUGACGGGUAGCCGGCCUGAGAGGGUGACCGGCCACAUUGGGACUGAGAGACGGCCCAGACUCCUACGGGAGGCAGCAGUGGGGAAUAUUGCACAAUGGGCGGAAGCCUGAUGCAGCAACGCCGCGUGCGGGAUGACGGCCUUCGGGUUGUAAACCGCUUUCGCCUGUGACGAAGCGUGAGUGACGGUAAUGGGUAAAGAAGCACCGGCUAACUACGUG
rnacentral:rRNA from 1 species